rnacentral:rRNA from 1 species
GACAAACGCUGGCGGGGUGCGUGGGACAUGCAAGUCGAACGAGGUGCCAUUGAGCUUGCUCGAUGGUUACCUAGUGGCGGACGGCUGAGUAACGCGUAGGUGACCUGCCCGGAAGUGGGGAAUAACUGCCCGAAAGGGUGGCUAAUACCGCAUGUGGUCGACGGUUCGAUUCGUCGAUUAAAGGAGCAAUCCGCUUCCGGGGGGGCCUGCGUCCGAUUAGCUAGUUGGUGGGGUAACGGCUCACCAAGGCGACGAUCGGUAGCUGGUCUGAGAGGAUGAUCAGCCAGACUGGGACUGAGAACGGCCCAGACUCCUACGGGAGGCAGCAGUCGGGAAUUUUGCCCAAUGGACGAAAGUCUGAGGCAGCAACUCCGCGUGAGGGAUGAAGGCUCUCGGGUCGUAAACCUCUUUUCUCAGGGAAGAUCCAAGACGGUACCUGAGGAAUAAGCCACGGCUAACUACGUGCCAGCCGCCGCGGUAAAAC